GAUUAAGUUAUUAAGGGCGCACGGUGGAUGCCUUGGCACUAGAAGCCGAUGAAGGACGUUACUAACGACGAUAUGCUUUGGGGAGCUGUAAGUAAGCUUUGAUCCAGAGAUUUCCGAAUGGGGAAACCCAGCAUGAGUUAUGUCAUGUUAUCGAUAUGUGAAUACAUAGCAUAUCAGAAGGCACACCCGGAGAACUGAAACAUCUUAGUACCCGGAGGAAGAGAAAGAAAAUUCGAUUCCCUUAGUAGCGGCGAGCGAAACGGGAAGAGCCCAAACCAACAAGCUUGCUUGUUGGGGUUGUAGGACACUCUAUACGGAGUUACAAAGGACGACAUUAGACGAAUCAUCUGGAAAGAUGAAUCAAAGAAGGUAAUAAUCCUGUAGUCGAAAAUGUUGUCUCUCUUGAGUGGAUCCUGAGUACGACGGAGCACGUGAAAUUCCGUCGGAAUCUGGGAGGACCAUCUCCUAAGGCUAAAUACUCUCUAGUGACCGAUAGUGAACCAGUACCGUGAGGGAAAGGUGAAAAGCACCCCGGAAGGGGAGUGAAAUAGAACCUGAAACCGUGUGCUUACAAGUAGUCAGAGCCCGUUAAUGGGUGAUGGCGUGCCUUUUGUAGAAUGAACCGGCGAGUUACGAUUUGAUGCAAGGUUAAGCAGUAAAUGUGGAGCCGUAGCGAAAGCGAGUCUGAAUAGGGCGUUUAGUAUUUGGUCGUAGACCCGAAACCAGGUGAUCUACCCUUGGUCAGGUUGAAGUUCAGGUAACACUGAAUGGAGGACCGAACCGACUUACGUUGAAAAGUGAGCGGAUGAACUGAGGGUAGCGGAGAAAUUCCAAUCGAACCUGGAGAUAGCUGGUUCUCUCCGAAAUAGCUUUAGGGCUAGCCUCAAGUGAUGAUUAUUGGAGGUAGAGCACUGUUUGGACGAGGGGCCCCUCUCGGGUUACCGAAUUCAGACAAACUCCGAAUGCCAAUUAAUUUAACUUGGGAGUCAGAACAUGGGUGAUAAGGUCCGUGUUCGAAAGGGAAACAGCCCAGACCACCAGCUAAGGUCCCAAAAUAUAUGUUAAGUGGAAAAGGAUGUGGCGUUGCCCAGACAACUAGGAUGUUGGCUUAGAAGCAGCCAUCAUUUAAAGAGUGCGUAAUAGCUCACUAGUCGAGUGACACUGCGCCGAAAAUGUACCGGGGCUAAACAUAUUACCGAAGCUGUGGAUUGUCCUUUGGACAAUGGUAGGAGAGCGUUCUAAGGGCGUUGAAGCAUGAUCGCAAGGACAUGUGGAGCGCUUAGAAGUGAGAAUGCCGGUGUGAGUAGCGAAAGACGGGUGAGAAUCCCGUCCACCGAUUGACUAAGGUUUCCAGAGGAAGGCUCGUCCGCUCUGGGUUAGUCGGGUCCUAAGCUGAGGCCGACAGGCGUAGGCGAUGGAUAACAGGUUGAUAUUCCUGUACCACCUAUAAUCGUUUUAAUCGAUGGGGGGACGCAGUAGGAUAGGCGAAGCGUGCGAUUGGAUUGCACGUCUAAGCAGUAAGGCUGAGUAUUAGGCAAAUCCGGUACUCGUUAAGGCUGAGCUGUGAUGGGGAGAAGACAUUGUGUCUUCGAGUCGUUGAUUUCACACUGCCGAGAAAAGCCUCUAGAUAGAAAAUAGGUGCCCGUACCGCAAACCGACACAGGUAGUCAAGAUGAGAAUUCUAAGGUGAGCGAGCGAACUCUCGUUAAGGAACUCGGCAAAAUGACCCCGUAACUUCGGGAGAAGGGGUGCUCUUUAGGGUUAACGCCCAGAAGAGCCGCAGUGAAUAGGCCCAAGCGACUGUUUAUCAAAAACACAGGUCUCUGCUAAACCGUAAGGUGAUGUAUAGGGGCUGACGCCUGCCCGGUGCUGGAAGGUUAAGAGGAGUGGUUAGCUUCUGCGAAGCUACGAAUCGAAGCCCCAGUAAACGGCGGCCGUAACUAUAACGGUCCUAAGGUAGCGAAAUUCCUUGUCGGGUAAGUUCCGACCCGCACGAAAGGCGUAACGAUUUGGGCACUGUCUCAACGAGAGACUCGGUGAAAUCAUAGUACCUGUGAAGAUGCAGGUUACCCGCGACAGGACGGAAAGACCCCGUGGAGCUUUACUGUAGCCCGAUAUUGAAAUUCGGCACAGCUUGUACAGGAUAGGUAGGAGCCUUUGAAACGUGAGCGCUAGCUUACGUGGAGGCGCUGGUGGGAUACUACCCUAGCUGUGUUGGCUUUCUAACCCGCACCACUUAUCGUGGUGGGAGACAGUGUCAGGCGGGCAGUUUGACUGGGGCGGUCGCCUCCUAAAAGGUAACGGAGGCGCUCAAAGGUUCCCUCAGAAUGGUUGGAAAUCAUUCAUAGAGUGUAAAGGCAUAAGGGAGCUUGACUGCGAGACCUACAAGUCGAGCAGGGUCGAAAGACGGACUUAGUGAUCCGGUGGUUCCGCAUGGAAGGGCCAUCGCUCAACGGAUAAAAGCUACCCCGGGGAUAACAGGCUUAUCUCCCCCAAGAGUUCACAUCGACGGGGAGGUUUGGCACCUCGAUGUCGGCUCAUCGCAUCCUGGGGCUGUAGUCGGUCCCAAGGGUUGGGCUGUUCGCCCAUUAAAGCGGUACGCGAGCUGGGUUCAGAACGUCGUGAGACAGUUCGGUCCCUAUCCGUCGUGGGCGUAGGAAAUUUGAGAGGAGCUGUCCUUAGUACGAGAGGACCGGGAUGGACAUACCUCUGGUGUACCAGUUGUCGUGCCAACGGCAUAGCUGGGUAGCUAUGUGUGGACGGGAUAAGUGCUGAAAGCAUCUAAGCAUGAAGCCCCCCUCAAGAUGAGAUUUCCCAACUUCGGUUAUAAGAUCCCUCAAAGAUGAUGAGGUUAAUAGGUUCGAGGUGGAAGCAUGGUGACAUGUGGAGCUGACGAAUACUAAUCGAUCGAAGACUUAAUCAA
rnacentral:rRNA from 1 species